rnacentral:rRNA from 1 species
CGGAACCUAUCACGGGACGGGGGACAACUCCGCGAAAGCGGGGCUAAGACCGCGUACGCUCUUUGCGGAAGGACGCAAAGAGGAGAAGGGGGCGUGAGGAGCGCCCGCUGGCCUGUGCGGGGCGUGCGUCUGAUUAGCUAGUUGGCGGGGUAAGAGCCCACCAAGGCGACGAUCAGUCGCUGGUCUGAGAGGAUGAUCAGCCACACUGGGACUGAGACACGGCCCAG